rnacentral:lncRNA from 1 species
AUGGGGCCCACAUGGAGGCUGCAGCACCCCGCUGGGUCGCAGGAACGCAGGGAGAUGGUGCUGCCCCAGGACAGAAGAGCCCUCAGCUGUGCUCAGAUGCCCUGGACUUGGCUGACUGGUUUGCUGAGAAGCAGCCUGAGCCUUGCUUCUGCCACACAAGAACAUGUUAGGUAUCAGGACGUGUCCCAGCACCGAUCAUCACUGCCUUCAGACAAGUUUCCAGAAGCGCGAUCAUUCGGAAGAAGAAAGGCCUGGCCUUUGGGAAGCAGACGUCAGAGGCAGUUUUCAAAGUCACUUCCCCAAAGUUGCGAGACUUCGCCUGGUGCUGGUCAAAGUUGGCCCCGGACAGAGGGAGGCAUUUCCUGUGGCUCCUUGGAAGGGAGACGGAGCUCAGUCCCUGUCCAGACAGCAGACAACUUGAGAGGGAUGAGGAGAGAGGGCUGGCUGGGGCCUGGGGCCAGGGCUUAGUGGGGAGCAAAGCUACGGUCACAGGAUGCAGGGGUCUGCCCUGGGGCUCAGCAUGCUUGGGAGCCCCUCCCUGGCUUCUUCCCUGAGGAGCCUUUCUUGUCAAGGGCAGGGGAGCUGGGGCCGGGACUCCCCACUGUGUCCAGAGUACCCUGCACAUCACCUGGACCACAGUACUCAGCACACAGUACCAUCACUGGGCUUAUUGUGGAGGGGACCUGUUCCUCUCCCUGUGUCCAUUUCCGAGCUGCGCCCCUG